UACGAAGGGUGCUAGCGUUGUUCGGAAUCACUGGGCGUAAAGCGCGCGUAGGCGGCCAUUCAAGUCAGGGGUGAAAUCCUUGGGCUCAACCCAAGAAUUGCCUUUGAAACUGUGUGGCUGGAGUGUCGGAGGGGAUAGCGGAAUUGCUAAUGUAGAGGUGAAAUUCGUAGAUAUUAGCAGGAACACCGGUGGCGAAGGCGGCUAUCUGGACGACAACUGACGCUGAGGCGCGAAAGCACGGGGAUCAAACAGG
rnacentral:rRNA from 1 species